rnacentral:misc_RNA from 1 species
AACGAGGCCGACCUGCGGCUGAGUUACCUGCGGAGGGAUCAUUACCGAGUUUACAACUCCCAAACCCCUGUGAACAUACCUAUACGUUGCCUCGGCGGAUCAGCCCGCGCCCCGUAAAACGGGACGGCCCGCCCGAGGACCCCUAAACUCUGUUUUUAGUGGAACUUCUGAGUAAAACAAACAAAUAAAUCAAAACUUUCAACAAUGGAUCU